AGCCAGGUGGUGGAAUGGUAACACAUGUGAGACAAAUACAGACACCACAGCGUUUCCUCGCAAGGUCUCCGUUCAAUUCGGGGUCUGGCCU